rnacentral:tRNA from 1 species
GCCUUUCUGGCCAAGUUGGUAAGGCACUUCUCUAGUAAUGAGGAGACCCUUAGUUUGAAUCUGGCUGAAGGCA